CGCCACUGUGGUGGAUUUGGUGCCAGCAGCCGCGGUAAUUCCAGCUCCAAUAGCGUAUAUUAAAGUUGUUGCGGUUAAAACGUUCGUAGUUGAACUUGUGCUUCAUACGGGUAGUACAACUUACAAUUGUGGUUAGUACUAUACCUUUAUGUAUGUAAGCGUAUUACCGGUGGAGUUCUUAUAUGUGAUUAAAUACUUGUAUUUUUUCAUAUGUUCCUCCUAUUUAAAAACCUGCACUAGUGCUCUUAAACGAGUGUUAUUGUGGGCCGGUACUAUUACUUUGAACAAAUUAGAGUGCUUAAAGCAGGCUUCAAAUGCCUGAAUAUUCUGUGCAUGGGAUAAUGAAAUAAGACCUCUGUUCUGCUUUCAUUGGUUUUCAGAUCAAGAGGUAAUGAUUAAUAGAAGCAGUUUGGGGGCAUUAGUAUUACGACGCGAGAGGUGAAAUUCUUGGACCGUCGUAAGACUAACUUAAGCGAAAGCAUUUGCCAAAGAUGUUUUCAUUAAUCAAGAACGAAAGUUAGAGGUUCGAAGGCGAUCAGAUACCGCCCUAGUUCUAACCAUAAACGAUGCCAGCUAGCAAUUGGGUGUAGCUACUUUUAUGGCUCUCUCAGUCGCUUCCCGGGAAACCAAAGCUUUUGGGCUCCGGGGGAAGUAUGGUUGCAAAGCUGAAACUUAAAGGAAUUGACGGAAGGGCACCACCAGGAGUGGAGCCUGCGGCUUAAUUUGACUCAACACGGGAAAACUUACCAGGUCCGAACAUAAGUGUGUAAGACAGAUUGAUAGCUCUUUCUCGAAUCUAUGGGUGGUGGUGCAUGGCCGUUCUUAUUUCGUGGAGUGAUUUGUCUGGUUAAUUCCGAUAACGAACGAGACUCAAAUAUAUUAAAUAGAUAUCUUCAGGAUUAUGGUGCUGAAGCUUAUGUAGCCUUCAUUCAUGGUGGCAGUAAAAUGUUUAUUGUGUUUGAAUGUGUUUAUGUAAGUGGAGCCGUACCUGUUGGUUGUCCCAUUAUAAGGACACUAGCU
rnacentral:ncRNA from 1 species